ensembl:lncRNA
UGACAAAGGGACAACCAAGAGUAGUGACAAGGGGGAUGCAAGGAGGAAUGGUGACAAAGGGACACCAGCAGGAGUGGUGAGAAAUGGACAGCAGGAGGAAUGGCGACAAAGGGACAACCAGGACAAAGGGACAGCAGGAGGCCUGGUGACAAGGGGACAACCAGGACACAGGGUGACAAAGUGGCACUGGGUGUCCCCCCCCCCACCUUUGGUAUAAAGGUUUGUUUGGUACCUGGGGCGUUUGGUGGCUGAAAGCUGCUCCUGGGCAGCACCCCGACCUGGGGGCGGGAAUGGGGACACAAAAGGUGACACCGAUGCCACCCCCGAGUGACAGCGCGGUGCUGGGGCAGAGGGGGAGUGGGGCAGGACCCGAAUUCGGGGUGGGGAAGCCAGAUUCUGUCCCCUUGUCACAUCCUGCCUGGUUUGUCCCGCCUUGACGUGCGGGUGGUGCCACCAAAGGGAUGGGUGGCUUGGGGACGUUGGGGACGUCGUGUUGGGGACGCUGGGAGGGGACAUUGGGAUGUGGGGGGGACAUCAUGUGGCUGUGUAUGGAGAUGUUGGGGACAUCACCAUGGGGAUAUUGGGGACGUCAUGGAGCUGUGCCAUGGGAUGUUGGGGACAUCACCAUGGGGACGUUGGGGAUGUCAUUAUGGGGACACUGGGGACAUCACGGGGACAUUAGGGAUGUCACCAUGGGGAUGUUGGGGACAAUGGGAUUUUGGGGACACCAUGUGGCUGUGCCAUGGGAUACUGGGGACAACCCUAUGGGGACACUGGGGACGUCAUUAUAGGGACACUGGGGACAUCACGGGGACAUUAGGGAUGUCACCAUGGGGAUGUUGGGGACAAUGGGAUUUUGGGGACACUGUGAGGGGACACUGGGAUGCUGGGGACACCAUGUGGCUGUGCCAUGGGAUGUUGGGGACAUUGGGGACGUCAGCAUGGGGAUGUUGGGGACAUCAUGAAGCUGUGCCAUGGGAUGUUGGGGACAACACCAUGGGGACACUGGGGACGUCAUGGGGAUACUGGGGACAUCACGGGGACAUUAGGGAUGUCACCAUCGGGAUGUUGGGGACAUCAUGAAGCUGUGCCAUGGGAUGUUGGGGACAACACCAUGGGGACGUUGGGGACAUCAUGGGGACACUGGGGACAUCACGGGGACAUUAGGGACGUCACCAUGGGGAUGUUGGGGACAUCAUGAAGCUGUGUCACCUCACCACACCCCCCAGGUGACAACACAGCACAGCCACGUGGUUGGGCUCAGAUGGUUUUAGUCCUCCUGCACAGGUGGGGACAACGGGGACACGCGGGGGGCCCUCCCACCCCCAUCCCAUAAGGAUGAAGGGGAUCCUGGGGGUCCCCAUCCCUGUCCUACGGGUUUGGGGACCCCCAGGGGUCCCUCUUGUCCCCAUCCCAUGGGCUUGGGGACGAUGGGAACCCUGGGAUCUCUCCCACUCCCAUCCCAUAACAACGAAGGGGAUCCUGAGGGUCCCCAUCCCUGUCUUAUGGGUUUGGGGACCCCCAGGGGUCCCUCUUGUCCCCUAUCCCACGGGGUCUGGGGACAACAAGGACCCCUGGGGUCCCUCCCACUCCCAUUAUUAAUGGGUUUGGAGACCCCCAGUUGUCCCUCCCACCCCCAUCCAUAGGGUUUGGGGACCCCCUGGGAUCUCUCCCACC